UAACCUGCCCAAGAGAUCGGGAUAACACCUGGAAACAGAUGCUAAUACCGGAUAACAACAGAUGAUGCCUAUCAACUGUUUAAAAGAUGGUUCUGCUAUCACUCUUGGAUGGACCUGCGGUGCAUUAGCUAGUUUGUAGGGUAACGGCCUACCAAGGCGAUGAUGCAUAGCCGAGUUGAGANACUGAUCGGCCACAUUGGGACUGAGACACGGCCCAAACUCCUACGGGAGGCAGCAGUC
rnacentral:rRNA from 1 species